CCUACGGGUGGCAGCAGUCGGGAAUAUUGGUCAAUGGAGGAAACUCUGACCCAGCAAUACCGCGUGAAGGAUGACGGUUCUCGGAUUUGAAACUUCUUUUAUAAAGGAAGAAAAAAGUGCCGGUACUUUAUAAGUAAGCCCCGGCAAACUAUGUGCCAGCAGCCGCGGUGAUACAUAGGGGGCAAGCGUUGUCCGGAAGGACUGGGUGUAAAGGGUGUGUAGGUGGAUUAUUAAGUUAGAGGUGAAAGCCCGAAGCUCAACUUUGGAACUGGCGUUAAAACUGGUUGGCUUGAGUGUGGGAGAGGUUAGUGGAACUCGUGGUGUAGCGGUGGAAUGCGUAGAUAUUAGGAAGAACACCAGAGGCGAAGGCGACUAACUGGAACAUUACUGACACUGAAACACGAAAGCGUGGGGAGCAAACAGGAUUAGAUACCCCAGUAGUC
rnacentral:rRNA from 1 species